rnacentral:lncRNA from 1 species
UGCGGUAUAGAAAUUACAUGCUAUGUUAUUUAAGCAUGCUUAUUUCUAACUGGUCCUAUCUUAACUUUGGUGAGAUUACCUACAAAAAAACUCAGAGAUAAUAUGUAACAUAGAAACCAAAACAUAAUAAUUGAAAUGAAACCAUAUAACCAUAAACCAAAACCAAAGUACAAAGUUUAUGACAUGUUUUAUAAAAUAAAUACAACUAUGGUACAAGACUCCCACUGAACCUAUACAUCAUCUAAGGAUACAGCACCCAUAUGAGCAGUGUGCUCAUGAAAGACCUUAGGUGGUAAUCCCUUAGUGAGUGGAUUUGUAA